GCUCGUGGGCGUGUCACGUCGAUUCCUGGUCGCAGAAAUUCCCUUUCCAGAGUGAACGAUGGAGCAGGGGACAGACCAGGCAGAGGUUCCUUUCCGCACCCAAUUCUAAUGGCGGGAAUUGUCUUUUCCAGGGAGAGGGCGAUAAAGAUGGAAGGCUUGCUGAAGAAGGUGCUAGCAGAGAACCAGCAGCUGAAAAGUGCUAGAAGGACACUGAUGUGGACAACUGCAGGAGGUCAGUGACAGCUGCUUCCCCAUCACCAGACAUCUGGCUCCCUGGAAGCAGGCGGCCCAUCCUGUUCUGUCCUUCUGGUUCUCGUUUCUAGGUCCAAAGAGAAACUUCUGUCAGAAAUCGGCUCCCUCUUGACAGAAAUUGCCUUUCUGAAGGAGGUACGAGAGCAGCUGAGGUACAAGGACCCAGAAUCCAGGAAGGAAACCACCAAGGCCCUUACGGAAACCAUCCAAGCCAAGCUGGAGGUGGCUCACGCGAAGAUCGAGGCGGCGGAGGCCAAGAAGGAGACCUUGGAGGCCCAGAGGAGGGCCGAGGAGGCCAAGGAGUCGGCGGAAGCCGCUCAAGCCCGGGAGGACAGCCUCUUGUCCUACGUCUCCAAAAUCGCCACCCUGGCCUACCAGCAGGCUGCCGAGGCCGAGUAUGACUGCGCCCAGGCCCGGAAGGCGAUGGCCGCGGCAGAGGCCAUCAACGUGGCUGCCUUCAGCGAUGCCCGAGGGCACCGCGGCCACAAGCUCCAGCACGAGAAGCACCACCGGAGCUCCCGGAGCAGCCACAGCGACUGCCGGUGUCACCACCACCACGGCCACCACCACGGCCACCACCACGAGCACCGCAGCCACUACGAGACCCAGAGCAACCAGGCCCACUCCGACCUGGAGACCCUGAGCAGCACCCGAUGAGGGCGGGAGGG
rnacentral:lncRNA from 1 species